rnacentral:rRNA from 1 species
CACGUAGGCGGCCUGGUAAGUCAGAUGUGAAAGCCCGGGGCUUAACCCCGGAAGUGCAUUUGAUACUGUCAGGCUUGAGUAUGGGAGAGGGAAGUGGAAUUCCUGGUGUAGAGGUGAAAUUCGUAGAUAUCAGGAGGAACACCGGUGGCGAAGGCGACUUCCUGGACCAAUACUGACGCUGAGGUGCGAGGGCGUGGGUAGCAAACAGGAUUAGAUACCCUGGUAGUC